GCGACCCCAGGUCAGGCGGGACUACCCGCUGAGUUUAAGCAUAUCA
rnacentral:rRNA from 26 species